rnacentral:rRNA from 1 species
UUUCGCAAUGCCCGAAAGGGUGACGAAGCGGCGCCGCGUGCGGGAAGAAGGCCUUCGGGUUGUAAACCGCUGUCGGGAGUUAAGAAGUGCAAGGAUGUUAAUAGCAUCUUUGCUUGACUAAGGCUCCGGAGGAAGCCACGGCUAACUCUGUGCCAGCAGCCGCGGUAAUACAGAGGCGGCAAGCGUUGUUCGGAAUUAUUGGGCGUAAAGAGCACGUAGGCGGCUAUGCAAGUCGGUUGUGAAAGCCUUCCGCUCAACGGAAGAACGGCAUCCGAUACUGCAUGGCUCGAGUGCGGGAGGGGAGAGUGGAACUUCUGGUGGAGCGGUGAAAUGCGUAGAUAUCAGAAGGAACACCGGCGGCGAAAGCGACUCUCUGGCCCGUAACUGACGCUGAGUGUGCGAAAGCUAGGGGAGCAAACGGGAUUAGAUACCCCGGUAGUCCUAGCCGUAAACGAUGGGCACUAAGUAGAGGGGUUUUA